UGUGCAAAGGUAGCAUAAUCAUUUGGCUUAUAAUUGAAGUCUGGAAUGAAUGAAUAUAUGGGUAUAAACUGUCUGUAAAAUAAACUGUGAAGUUACUAAAUAAGUGAAAAUACUUAUGGUAAGUAAAUAGACGAGAAGACCCUAGAAAUUUACAUAACUUACUAUAGGCGUUUUUGCUGGGGCGGCUGAAUAACACAAAACUUAUUUUAUUAAAUUAACUAAUAUAUUAAUAUAAAAUAAAUUACUCUAGGGAUAACAGCAUAAUUUGAUAUAGUUUGUGACCUCGAUGUUGGACUAAGGUUGUUAUCCCCCAGAAGGAGGUAACACAUGCUCUGUUCGAGCAGUUAUCCUUACAUGAUCUGAGUUCAAAUCGA
rnacentral:rRNA from 1 species